UAGAUAGAUAGAUAGAUAGAUAGAUAGAAAUGAAACUGCAACUAUGCUCUACUAUGCCAUCAAAUGCAAACAAUGCAUGGAAUAUCAUCUAGCAACAAGCCUACUAUCAUGCUAGCAUGCUUCAACGAUGUAAUGAAUACAAAUACGACAUAGUUAUGCAAUCCACUAACAUAUACUAUGUCUAAUCAGGGAUGAAUAGAAAUCCACUUAUGCUAUUCAUGUCAUUACCCCAUCCACUAGGCUACCCCGCCUAAGAUCUCAAAUCUCAUAGGUACUCACACCACAAUCUAGUAGGUGAAGAGGUGAAGAGCUACCCCGCUCUUCGCCCUGACUGAUAUCUCAAAUCUCACAGGUGAGGAGCUACCCCACUCUUAUCUCACCCGUCUCACAUCUCAAAGGUCAUAGAUGAAGAGCUACCCCGCUCUAAUCUCAUAGGUAAUGAGCUACCCCGCUCAUUCUCAUAAAUAAUGAGCUAACUCUAUCAAGUAUACAUGCAACUCUACUACGCUCAACAAGCUUAACAUGCUCAAUAUGCCCAAUAUGCUCAACUUGCAUAAUCCUCUUGAGUUUAUUACCCAAUCAUCUAGCUGGCCCAUAGGCGCGCCCUCGACUCACAACUCAAAUCCGUCUAUGAAGGGGGACUCGAACCACCCGAGGGAUUGUCUGCGGGACCCCACAUAGGCAAUCCCUUGGGACCCCACAUAGGCUAUCCCAAUCGUUUCACGUGCCAAGACUCCGGAGCUCGCACUACUUGUGCGGAGCGACCGCCACAAGCGCCGAACAGACUGUGUGAGUAUAAUCAAAUUCGUUUCCAACGAAGGUACCCGGUCACUACGACCAACAUGCACAAGUGUUCUUUUAACACUACGUUCUAAUGCCACUCGUCAAGUUGUUUACUUGGUAUACAUAUGCCACUCGUCAAGUAUGUACUUGGUUCACAUGUCACUUGCCAUAAUGCAAUUGUCCCAACUAUACUAGUCAUAUAUCCUCUAUGCAAGAUCAAGUUAUUGUUUAACUUAUCUCUAUAGGGUUCUAUGUCACAAACUCAUUCUCAUGCACUCUAAGUUCACAUGCCAAGCUUACUAUGCCGCAAUACAAGGGAGCAUGAAAGAAUAGUAAAAGUAACAUCUAAAUACCCUAACAUGCAUGAUACUAUAUAUGUAGGAUGUUCAACAUAAAAAUACUUAGACAUAGGGAGAAGCCCAGUUGCUUCGGGAUGACACCCCCCACCUUUUAUCGCUAUCACGAGGCUAGGGUUCCGAUUUCGUGAUUUUUGUAAGCUUUCGCCACGAGCUGCGGCAAUCUGUACCUUAACGGCUUCAUUCUUUAAUUUCUUCGCGUAUGCUCAUCGUAUCGCCAAACCGACUUCGCCAACGCGUCAGAAAACCUAGCAAUUAGGUUUAUACAUGAUUAAUUUAGAUCAAACCCUCACAUAUUGCAAAAUCCCAUUUUUGAGCCCUAACAUGCAAUUACCCCCAAAUAAUCCAAAUUAAAUGGAGCAACAUGCUAAGAAUGCUCAUUAGAGGAUACUAGAACACUUAAGGUUAAGGAUUAAGCCAAAUUCCAAAAGUUUACUAAAAUGUGAAUGCCGAGACGGAAGCACACCGCUCCAACGGGCGCACGAAAGCUCGAUCUGUCGCUCCCAACGCGUUCGCAAGCUCGUUCUCCGCCAACGCCGCGAAUUUGGGCGAAAGAUCUAGAGAGAUGAGAGAGUUAUUUAGAGAGAGAAAGUGAGGAUUUCUCUCACUACCACCAUGAACGUGUGCUUGUGGGGGUGGUGCUCGGUUGUGAAGAAGCCAAGUCACUAGAAGCUUCUACUUAUAGUCAACACCCCAAUAGUAGCAUACACUAUUCACUUCAGGCAGUUCGAAAUCUGAUAUCUUUCGCUGGAGCCCUCUGAAUAUCCGUUUGAGCUCAAAUUUGACAGUCAUGUUCGGUUUUGCUUAACUUAAUGAAAGAAAUUUUAAUAUUUCAGUUUCGACCCCGUUUGGUCAUCGAAAGCCGUACCGAACUAUAAUCUUUAUCAGAUCACUAUCGGAUUUUAUUUUUCACCUUCCGAGUGUCAGAAUGAUAUGAAACUUUAAAUCUAGCAUCAUAAAAAUAAUUCUGACAUAUCCUCCAGUUUUCAUAAUUUUCUGACACUGUACAUUUUCUGCUAAUUUAUCUGCCCCGUCUCUCACAGAAAAUUCUAAACCUUCUGUUUUCGCUCCGAUUUCAGCACAGGUCAUUCCCAACCUAUAUUUCACUUCUCUAAAUCCAAUAAAAAUAGUAUCUCAUACUAUUUUUAUUUAUUUUCACUUUUAUAUUUAAUAUCUAGUAUGUUACAUUCUGCCGCAACCUCACCGGAACCAUUUAAAUGUACACCGUAACUUCAUAGUUUUAGAAGUCCGGUACCUUACAUGUACUUAAUACCGGAAUGUGAGAAAUCCGCUUUUUGCCCUUAAUGGACGAUCUCAAUCCUUGCGCGCGACAACCUGAGCUAAAAUGAGGUUUUUCUUAAUUAGUGCAUCGUAGGCUUGUCGGAACACCAAUCCGAGCUUCCCAACGCGUCGGUUUUAUCUUCAAUUAGGAUUCUAUGCAAUCAAUUCUAAGCUAGGCUCCCAAUCCUACAAAAUACGAUCUUAGGCUCUACAUACACUGUUUCUAUACAAUUUCACAAAAUAUAUAGAGUAAUUCAACUUUUCACUAGCCCAAGAACCUCAAAAUAAUUAGUUUAGAGGAUUUACAUCAAUCCCUAAUAAAGGAUUACAAAAAUAUGCAUAGUAACUUAUUUUACUUCCUAGCUUCCAAAGCUCACAUCUGACAUACAUGGCACUUUUCUAGGUUCUCAUGGCUAAAUCUGCUUUUAGCAACCAUAUAAAGCAAACUUAGGCUUUAACAAUCUAAAAAAACCUUAAACUUAAUAAAGGAAUAACAACCAUUCACAUGUAUACUACACACAUAUAUACAUAACUCAACAUAUGGCUUGUUCUCUGGGGUUCAUGGCAACUUCAAGUUUUGGAAACCAAGAAGUUUACAACCAAUUUCUCCUUAGGUUAAGUAAACAUAAACUCUAUUAAAGCAACAGCCCCAGUUUCAUACAUGUGGCCAACAUGUUUUCUCUAAAUUUUCUUUCAUGUCAACAGAAGCUUUAACAUCUACAAUCCUUAGAGUCCAAGAGUUCCAAUUUAAAUCCUCAUUAAAGCACAUAACACGCCCUAAUUAACCAGGAAUUAUAUCAUUCUUAGCAAGAAAUACAACCAACCCACCUUAGGUUCCAAGCUCCAAAAAGGGUUCUUCUCAGCUCAAGCUUCUAUUCCACCAAAAUCCACCCACUCCACUAAUUCUCUAACAACUAGCCACCUUACAUUUGUAGAGAGAGAGAAGAAACCAAAAUGAAAAGAGAUGAAGAGAGAGAGAGUCUUGGUACGCAUGGAGGGUUGAGGUGCAGGGUUGUAGAUAAGAUCAGGGAACAUUGCAAUUAAACCCCUCCACAUGGCUGAAAUUACCUUGCAGCCCAACACUAACACAAUUUUUGGUUUAGUAGUUCGGAAUCUGAUACUUUUCGCUGGAGCCUUUCUGAAUGUCAGUUUGCGCUCAAAUUUAACAGUCAGGCUCGGUUUAACAUAACAAGAACUAAAAAAUUUUAAUCUUUCAGUUCCGACCAUUUUUGGUCACCGAAUGCUCUACCGAACUGUAAUCUCUAGCAGAUAACAGUCGGAUUUUAUUUUUUACCUUCCGGGUGUCAGAAUGACAUGAAACUUUAAAUCUAGCCUCAUAAAAAUAAUUCUGACAUAUUCUUCAAUUUUCAUAAUUUUUUGACACUAUUCAUUUUCUGCUAAAAUACCAGCCCCAUUCUUUUACAGAAAAUUCUAAAUAUUCUGUUUUCGCUCCGAUUUCAACACGAGUCAUCCCAAACUUAUAUUUUACACCCUUAAGUCCAAUAAAAAUAGUAUCUCACCCCAUUUUUAUUCACACUUAAUUUUAUAUUAUUUUGCUCACUUUAAUCAACAGAAACCUCAUAGUCCAAUAAUUUUCCUUCGAAGUCGUUUCGCGCCCAAUUUGCGCCGAAACACUCAUUUAUCUUCGGAAUUCAUUCCCACGCAUUCAAAAUCACUUGAGGAAGAUACAAAACCAGCUCAACUUUACUUUGAUCCUCUAGAUCAAAGUUGACAUCGCAACUCCAAAUUUUCAUAUAUUACAAAGCUUACCUCUAAGUUUGCUCCUUUCUUGCACUAGAGGGGAAGAAGAAGAAGUCACUCCACUCCAAUGGCUUCUUCUCCACCUUCCUUGCCUUUCUUUUUCCUUUCCUUCUCCUUCUUCUUCUCUUUCUUUCCUUUCCUUUCUUCUCUUCUUUAUCUUCUAGAGAGAGAAAGAGAGAUGAGAGAGUGUGAGAGGGAGUGAAAUGAGAGAAGUAUCUCAUUUUCCCCCAUACUAUACCCUAUGGGUUGCAAAAUUACAGUUAAACCCCUCAACUUUCAUCUUGUUACACUCCCCAAACUGGGCAUUUUUCGUGCUCGGGGACCGGUCUCCGCGACUUAGGACCGGUUCCAGAGAGCUCUCCCCGCGGGCAGCCAAGGCUACGUGCGACGCAACCGGUCUCUCCCCCAGAGGGACCGGUCUCUCGGUGACCAGUCUCUUCCCGCAGGGACCGGUUCCCGAGAGCUGGCUUUCUGGGACUUAGCCGAUUUUUCGGCUUUCUCACGUUGCACGCGUUCGGGGACCGGUCUCUCCCACCAGGGACCAGUCACCGAGAGCUCAAAAACUGCAGUUUGCAGAUUUUUGAUUCUUUAGCUCUCGAAAACCUCCCACAACGCACUUUUGACCAUUUUAACACCUUCGGACUUUUCGAAGUGUACCAUUCUCGCACUUUGGUCAAUUUGACUAAAGUUCGAUAUUUAUUUUUUGAAUUUUCGGUAUAUUACAAAUCUAGAGAGAGAAAGGGAGGUUUCUCUCUCCUUCUCCAUGCGUGCGUGUGUUGUGGGGUGGUGUGGUCGGCUGAGGAAGAAGAAGAGGUCAACACUCCUCUUUAGUCAACACCCAAAACACUAUUCACUUCGGGCAGUUUGAAAUCUGAUAUCUUUCGUCGGAGCUCCCUGAAUAUCCGUUUGAGCUCAAAUUUGACAGUCAUGUUUGGUUUACUUAACGAGUCCAAAAAAAUUUUAAUAUUUCAGUUUCGACCCCGUUUGGUCACCGAAAACUAUACCGAACUGUAAUCUUUAUCAGAUAGCUGUCGGAUUUUAUUUUCCACCUUCCGGGUAUCAGAAUGAUAUGAAACUUUAAAUGUAGCCUCAUAAAAAUAAUUCUGACUUAUCCUCCAGUUUUCAUAAUUUUCUGACACUGUGCAUUUUCUGCUAAUUUAUCUGUCCCGUUUCAAACAAAAAAUUCUAAAUCUUCUGUUUUCAUUCUGAUUUCAGCACAUGUCACUUCUGACUUAUAUUUUACUUCUCUAAAUCCAAUAAAAAUAGUUUCCCACACUAUUUUUAUUUUUAUACCAAAAUCUAGUAUGUUACACUGCCACAAUCUUUUAAAGCAGAGUAUACUGAGUAUGAGGAGUUGGAGGAAGAAGUUGGGCUCAAUGUGGCCCAAUUACAGCUAGAGGAUACCAAACCGGCCAAUGCGGUGGUUUUCGAGAAACUAUCGGCCAUGCAGAUAAGAUUUGUAAGGCCUUUUUUCAUACGGGCCUUAGUUGAAGGUCGGCCGGUAGGCCGAGUUAUGAUAGACGGCGAAGCGAUGGUCAAUGUCAUGCCCACUUCAUUCUUUAAGAAGUUAGGCAAGGAUGAAGAUGAGUUGAAGCCCACUGACACGAUCAUGACCGACUUCACUGGGAGCGGUAAGCAAGCUCGAGGGGUGCUUACGACCGAGAUCACGGUAGGUUCCAAAACUUUACGAACUGCAUUCUUUGUGGUUGAUGCAGAUAGUCAAUAUAACUGUCAUGCCCCGAGACCGCUACCAAUGCGGUCCAGUUCGGGCGCGUCGAACAGACGCCGGACGGACAGCACUUCCCCUGUCCGCCCAAGGCUCAAAAAUAAGAUCAUGUACAUAGAAUUGCCUAGGAAUAAAUUCAAUUACAUACAUGAUAAAGCACGGAGCACUAUAAGUACUAACAAGUAAGAGUAAGGCACAAGUAUACUAUACAAGUGAAAUAAGGAGAGAUACAUCUAUCUACUACAUCCACAAGGCAUUCAACAUUUAGAUCCUUGAUUACAUUUACAUCUCCAAAAUGAACAUUCAUGAUAAUCUCCCAAAUACACAAGCAACCUCCCAAAGUACAUCAUAUGUCACGGGGUACACGAGGGUACACUAAUGCAAGUGGAAGCUACUAACUAUACCUAGGGUGCGAUGCCCUUACCACGGUCCUCUGCCGGUGCUCUCUCGCUAGGCCCUGCAACAAAGUGGGGUGAGAACUAUAUAAACAUAGUUCCCAGUGGGUUCAGCCGCCGACUCCGCCGAUGUCACGCCCCGGGACCGGCGGAGGCCCUCCCGGUAGCGUGCCCAGACCCGCCAUAUGUCUACACAUAUAAGGCGUCUACAAUAAAAGCGGAAGAAAAGCAAGAAAUAGAACAAAUAAAAGAAGGGAAAUAACCAGCAACUAAUGAUAUCAGAGCAAAUAUAGUUCUAACAUCUACACCAAAGUAAAGAGAUAAGGAUAGACAAUAAAGGAAAACAUAAGUAGUACAAUAUCUGUCUCUAGUACAAAAAUGGUGGUCUCUAUACAUAUACGGUACAACUCUCAACCUCUCACAAGCAUAUAACACGAGAGGUAGACCACCUAUCGAACGAUCCCUCGGUAAGCACGCUAGCCCGAGGCGAUACCCUUUCCGCGAUCCCUGGCCUCUCCCUGCGUGGAAGGCUCCAUGCAAUUACCCCCAAUAAUCCAAAAAUUAAAUGGAGCAACAUGCUAACAAUGCUCCAUUAGAAGGAUACUAGAACACUUAAGGUUAGGAUUAAGCCAAAUUCAAAAGUUUACAUAAAUGUGAAUGCGGACGGAAGCACAGUAAUCGGCUCCAAACGGCGCACGAAAGCUCGAUCUUCGCUCCACUCAACAUAGCGUUCCAAGCCGUUCUCCCAACAUGCCGCGAAAUAUGUGCGAUAAAAGUCUAGAGAGAUUAAGAAGAUUAUUUAGCGAAGAAAAUGAGGAUUUGCUCUCACUAACACCAUGAAACCGUGUGCUGUGGGGUGGGUCGUUUGGAAAACCAAUCACUAGAAGUUCUACUUAUAAGUCAACAACCCAAUAGUAGCAUACACUAUUCACCCUUCCCAGACAUUCGAAAUCUAUAUCUUCGCUGUGAGCCCUCUGAAUAUUCCGUUAGCUCAAAUUCUGACAGUCAGUCGUUUGCUUAACUUAAUGAAAGAAAUUCUUAAAUAUUUCAGUUUCGAGCCCUGGGACUCGUUUUCCGGUUUGGUCAUCGAAAGCCCGUACCUGAACUAUAAUCUUUAUCAGUAUAAACUAUCGAUUUUAUUUUUCACGCUCCUGAGUGUCAGCAAGAUUGAAACUUUAAAUCUACAUCAUAAAAAUAAUUCUGACAUAAUCCUCCAGUUUUCAUAAUUCUGACACUGGUAAUUUUCAUGCUAAUUUAUCUCCCAGUCUCUUCACAGAAAUCUAAAACCAUUAUUCGUCUUUCGCUGCCGAUUUCACAUCAGUGUCAUUGCCCAGCCUAUAUUUCACCUUCUCAUAAAUCCAAUAAAAUCAGUAUCUCAUACUAUUUUUAUUUAUUUUUCCCCUUUCACUUUAUAUUUUAAUAUCUAGCUAAUGUUACAUUCUGCCGCAACCUCAACGCGAACACAUUCAAAUCGCUUCCAAAUCAAAUGUCACCGUAUGCUUCAAUAAUAUAGAAGUCCGGUACCCGUUACAUGUACUUAAUACGGGAAUGUGAGAAAUACCGCUUUGCCUUAAUGGACCCGAUCUCAAUUCUGCGCGCAGACAACUCUAGCAAAUGAGGUUUUUUAUCUUAAUUAGUGCAUCGUAGCGCUUGUCGGAACACCAAUCCGAGCUUCCCACGCGUCGGUUUAUCUUCAUUAGGAUUUUACUGCAAUCAAUUCUAACUAGGCUCUCCAAUCCACAAAAUAACGUCUUAGCUCUACAUUACACGUUUCUUAUACAAUUUCACAAAAUAUUUAUAGAGUAAUUCAACGUUUUCAACUAGCCCAAAAGAACUCAAAUAAUAGUCUAAGAACGGAUUUACAUCAAUCCUCAAUAAAGAUUAAAUGCACCCCAAAACUAUCAUAGUAAACAUUAUUUUAUCUAGCUUCCAAGCUCAACAUCUGACAUACAUGGGCACUCUUUCAGGUUCUCAUGCUUAAAUGCCUUUUAGCACCAUAUAAAGCAAAACUAGGCUUAACAAUCUAAAAAACUCUAAACUUAUAAAGGAAUAACUACCAUUCAACAUUAUACUACACAUCAUAUAUACAUAACUCACAUAUGGCUUUUCUCGGGGUCAUGGCAACUUCAAGUUUGGAAACCAAAGAAGUUUAACAACCAAUUUCUCCUAGGUUGAAGUAAACAUAACUCUCAUUAAGCAACAGCCGCCAGUUUUCAUACAUUGUGGCCAACAUGUUUUCUCUAAUUUUCUUUCAUGUCAACAAGCUUUAACAUCUACCAAUCCUUAAGUCCCAAGAGUUCAAUUUAAAUCCCUCAUUAAAUGCACUAAACACGGCCUAAUUACUCAGUGAAUUAUAUCAUCUUAGGAAGAAAUAGCAACCAACACACCUUAGGUUCCAAGCUCCAAAAAGGUUCUUCUCAGCUCAAGCUCUAUUCCAUCCAAAAACCAAACCACUCCAUCUAAUUCUCUAACAACUAGCCACUUACAUUUGAAUAAAAGAGAAGAAGAAGAAAACAAUGAAAAGAGAUGAGAAAGAGAGUAAAACUUGGUACGGCAUAGGAGGGGUUGAGUGCAGGUUGUGAUAAAAUCAGGGAACAGAUUGCAAUUAAAACCCUCACACACAUAGGCUAGGAAAUUACCUCGCAGCCGGCACACACUCACCACACAUUUUGGUUUAAGUAGUUCGGUAAUCUGAUACUUUUCGUCUGGAUGCUUUCUGAAUUGUCAGUUGCGUCAAAUUUAACAGUCAGGCUCGGUUUAAAACAUAACAAGGAAAUAAAAUUUUAAUCUUUCAGUUCGACCAUUUUUUGGUCACCGAAUGCCUCUACGCGAACUGUAAUCUCUAGGGCAGAUAACAGUCGGAUUUUAUUUUAACCUUCCGGUGUCAAUAAUGACAUGAAACUUUAAUCUAGCCUCCAAUAAAAAUAUUCUGACAUAUUCUUCAAUUUUCAUAAUUUUUUGACACAUUCAUUUCUGCUAAAAUACCACCCCAUUUUUACAGAAAAUUCUAAAUAUCUCUUUUUUUCGCUCCGACUUUCAAACAAGUCACCCAAAUAUAUUUACAACCCUUAAUCCAAUAAAAAUAGUAUCUCACACCCAUGUUUUAUCACUACUUAAUUUAAUUAUUUCGCUCACUUUAAUGCAACAGAAACCUCAUAGUCCAAUAAUCUUUCCUUCGAAAGACAUCGUUUCGCGCCCAAUUUGCGACGGAAACACUCAUUUAUCUUCGAAUUCAUUCCACGGCAUAUCAAAAUCACUUGAGCGAAGAAUUACAAACCAGCUCAAAACUUCUACUUUGAUCCUCUAAUCAAAGUUGACAUCGCAACUCCCAAAACCAAAUUUCAUAUAUUACAAGCUUACCUCUAAGUUUGUCUCUUUCUUGGCACUAAGAGAGGAAGAGAAGAAGUCACUCCACUCCAUAUGGCUUCUCUCCUCCACCUUCCUUGCUUGUUCUUUUCCUUUCAUCUCCCUUCUUCUUCCUUUCUUUCUUUCCUUUCUUCUCUUCUUUUAUCUUGCUCAACAUGCUUAACAUGCUCGAUAUGCCCAAUAUGCUCAACUUGCAUAAUCCUCUUGAGUUUAUUACCCAAUCAUCCGGCUGGCCCAUAGGCGCGCCCUCGACUCACAACUCAAAUCCGUCUAUGAAGAGGGAUUCGAACCACCCGAGGGUUGUCUGCGGGACCCGACAUAGGCUAUCCCUUGGGACCCCAAAUAGGCUAUCCCAAUCGUUUCAUGUGCCAAAACUCUGGAGAUCGCACUAGUUGUGCGGAGCGACCGCCACAAGCGCUGAACAGACUGUGUGAGUAUGAUCAAAUUCGUUUCCAACGAAGGUACUCGGUCAUAUGACCAACAUGCACAAGUGUUCUUUUAACACUAAGUUAUAAUGCCAGUCGUCAAGUUGUUUACUUGGUUCACAUGUCACUUGCCAUAAUGCAAUUGUCCCGACUAUACUAGUCAUAUGUCAUCCAUGCAAGAUCAAGUUAUUGUUUAACUUAUCUCUAUAGGGUUCUAUGUCACAAACUCAUUCUCAUGCACCCUAAGUUCACAUGCCAAGCUUACUAUGCCGCAAUACAAGGGAGCAUGCAAGAAUAGUAAAAGUAACAUCUAAAUACCCUAACAUGCAUAAUACUAUAUAUGCAGUAUGUUCAACAUAGAAAUACUUAGACAUAGGGAGAAGCUCAGUUGCUUCGGGAUGACACCCCCCACCUUUUAUCGCUGUCACAAGGCUAGGGUUCCGAUUUCGUGAUUUUUGGAAGCUUUCGCCGCGAGCUGUGGCAAUCUGUACCUUAACGGCUUCGUUCUUUAAUAUCUUCACGUAG
rnacentral:lncRNA from 1 species